UACGUAGGGUGCAAGCGUUAAUCGGAAUUACUGGGCGUAAAGCGCGCGCAGGUGGUUCUUUAAGUCUGAUGUGAAAGCCCCCGGCUCAACCGGGGAGGGUCAUUGGAAACUGGGGAACUUGAGUAUAGAAGAGGAAAGUGGAAUUCCACGUGUAGCGGUGAAAUGCGUAGAGAUGUGGAGGAACACCAGUGGCGAAGGCGGCGAUCUGGGAAGAUACUGACGCUGAGGUGCGAAAGCGUGGGGAGCAAACAGG
rnacentral:rRNA from 1 species